UCGAGAAUUUUUCACAAUGGGGGAAACCCUGAUGGAGCGACGCCGCGUGGAGGAUGAAGGUCUUCGGGUUGUAAACUCCUGUCAUGCGGGAACAAGCAAGUGAUAGUACCGCAAGAGGAAGAGACGGCUAACUCUGUGCCAGCAGCCGCGGUAAUACAGAGGUCUCAAGCGUUGUUCGGAUUCAUUGGGCGUAAAGGGUGCGUAGGUGGUGGCGCAAGUCUGGUGUGAAAUCUCGGAGCUUAACUCCGAAAUUGCACCGGAUACUGCGUGACUCGAGGACUGUAGAGGAGAUCGGAAUUCACGGUGUAGCAGUGAAAUGCGUAGAUAUCGUGAGGAAGACCAGUUGCGAAGGCGGAUCUCUGGGCAGUUCCUGACACUGAGGCACGAAGGCCAGGGGAGCAAACGGGAUUAGAUACCCCGGUAGUCCUGGCAGUAAACGGUGCACGUUUGGUGUGGGCGAGUUC
rnacentral:rRNA from 1 species